CCUACGGGUGGCAGCAGUGAGGAAUAUUGGUCAAUGGACGAGAGUCUGAACCAGCCAAGUAGCGUGAAGGAUGACUGCCCUAUGGGUUGUAAACUUCUUUUAUAUGGGAAUAAAAUGUUCCACGUGUGGGAUUUUGUAUGUACCAUAUGAAUAAGGAUCGGCUAACUCCGUGCCAGCAGCCGCGGUAAUACGGAGGAUCCGAGCGUUAUCCGGAUUUAUUGGGUUUAAAGGGAGCGUAGGUGGAUUGUUAAGUCAGUUGUGAAAGUUUGCGGCUCAACCGUAAAAUUGCAGUUGAAACUGGCAGUCUUGAGUACAGUAGAGGUGGGCGGAAUUCGUGGUGUAGCGGUGAAAUGCUUAGAUAUCACGAAGAACUCCGAUUGCGAAGGCAGUUCACUGGACUGCAACUGACACUGAGGCUCGAAAGUGUGGGUAUCAAACAGAUUUAGAUACCCUGGUAGUC
rnacentral:rRNA from 1 species